rnacentral:tRNA from 1 species
GCUGUCGUAGCUCAGCGGUAGAGCACUUCAUUGGUAAUGAAGAGGUCCCGAGUUCGAUCCUCGGCGACAGCACCA